UACGUAGGGUGCAAGCGUUUAAUCGGAAUUACUGGGCGUAAAGCGUGCGCAGGCGGUUUUGUAAGUCUGUCGUGAAAUCCCCGGGCUUAACCUGGGAACUGCGCUUGUUACUGGCAGACUGGAGUGUGGCAGAGGGGGGUGGAAUUCCAGGUGUAGCAGUGAAAUGCGUAGAUAUCUGGAGGAACACCGAUGGCGAAGGCAGCCCCCUGGGCUAACACUGACGCUGAUGCACGAAAGCGUGGGGAGCAAACAGG
rnacentral:rRNA from 1 species